CGGCGGGGUCGAUCCUUUGACUGCUGGCGCCGAUGGAAAGGCGCCGCGGCGCAAUGUCCCCACGAGAGCGACAAACCAACCGAGGCUCUCGCACUCGUCUUUUUUUGCGGCCCUCCACCAUCCGUCGACGCGACGCUGUCGGUCUCGUCCAAGAGUUGUGUGGUCGUGUCGGCGUCGUCGCUGUUGCCCCAAAUUCGACAAGACAAUGCCAACACGCCGACGGCAACAAAAGGAGGCCCUGGAUGCCGCGGCACAACCCCUGACGAAAAAAAAAAGGUUGACCACGUCGCACGGUCGACACCAGCGACGGCAGAGCGUGCACGCGGGUUCCCGCCAACAACAGACGUGCGCAAGGUGAGAGUACGCGCCAUAAUUUUUCGCUGCGGCAUCCUUUUGCCUCUAGAAAAAAAAGGUGCCCCCGUCGACGAUGCCGCCAAGGAAUAUUUAUUGACGGCGAUCAAAAUACAAUGGGAAAAAGAAAAGGAAGCAGAGACCUUGGCUGGUCAGGAGGACGCAGGUCAAUAGAAUCCGCCGUACAGCCACUUGUCGUGACUCGUCUGGGCGUCCUGGCAAAAGGGAUCGAUCACACGGCGCACGCGCUGCGACACACAGUCCAUAUCUUGGCCGCGCAAUAGGGCGACCAUGGCCUCGACCACGUCAGACUGUAGGGGCCAAAGCCACCGCACCGUCGCAAGGUCGCCCGUGCGGAGCGCGUCGCGCACAGUGAGCGCAAUCAUGUGAUCGACUCGGUCGUCCACGUCGUCCUGCGGAAUGCCGCCGCGCGGCCGCCGGUCCAAGAGCACCUCUACAAGUUCUCGACAGCCGCGGUGAAGGAGCAGCGGCGACCUGCCAGGCGGAUCCACCACGGGAGGAGUAUGACGAUACAGGGCAAAAGACCCGUUUACUGUCGGCAUGUCGAUGGCGUGGGUGAGCACGCGGUCGACAAAUGCUGCAUGACCAGAGACGGCCGCGUGGACGUAGGCGCGUGCAAAUGCACGCUCGGUAUGCCCUGGACGAGGCGAAAACAGAGGCAGGUCGGCCUCGACCCGAUCCAGCAGGUCCAGCCGGCCGGUGCGUGACGCCACGUGCAAGAGAUGAAAAAGGCCGUCGCAUUUGCGAUCACACGAGUCGACAUUGUCAUAGACCCACAGCGCGUCGUCAGGGUCGGCCGGCCGGAUCCGCUGGAUGUGUCGCAAGGACGCAAUCAACAUGCCGGAGCCGACAAGGUCCCUGAUGAGGCCCAUGUGGCCUGCACGGAUCAUGUCGCAGAUACCAUCGUAGCCGCCCGAGCCAAAGUUUUGGACUUGACUGCAGACUUCAAUCACGCCAUGCACGGCUGCGGCCACUUGUUUCGUAGUCGGGGGCGAUGACAAUGAUGAUGAUUGUCGUUGCUGCUCCGCGACGAGACGCCAGAUGCGACGCUGCACCGUCGCACGGGAAUCGCCCGAUGCCUCGAUGGCACCCAAGACGCGAUCAAUCACAUCGGCACCGCAGGCGUGACUCACGAUGUUGCGGCACUCUGUGGCAAUCGCGUCCUCGUCCCAUGCGUGAGGCCGAUUGCCGGCGCGACACAGCCAGGCAAGUGCGUCGCCGUCGCCGCCUUUGGCAAGCGCAAACACGAGGCUCGACCACAGUUUACAGUCGACUGGCCACUCCAUGUCGUGCAUGCGGACCACGCGCUCUAUCAUGGUCACAUGUCCAGCAUCGGCCAUUGCGACGAGGCAAGGCGUCGUUGCCAAAUCAUCAGACUCGCCAUACACGAUGGGGUGCUCCAAGGCAUAGUCCAGUCCGUCGUGGUCGCCGGCGAGGCACAGACAGUGCAGCGUCGCCCAUCGGUACUUGCGCCUGAAAAGCGCGCGACGGUCGAGGACGUGAAAGCGACGCCAGGCCAGCAGACACGCGCCCAGCGAUCGGUCGUCGAGAUAGGUGUCGACCAAGUGGACGAGGACGUCGUCUGGAAGGAUGUCGAUCGGAGCCGGUCCAACUGGGCGGUCGUCAUGUGGUAUGCAGGCCAUGGAGAAAAGGGGCAAGUCCAAUGUGGUGUCUGCAAGUGCGGGAGGGGGGUUGUUGCGUGCCGCACGCAAAAAUGGAUGAGCGAAAAGAAACAGGAAAAAAAGUGCAAUAAAUUGGCACGUCGACGAUCGUCGCUCUUUCGUGUCGUGGCCUCGCUUGUGUGUCGGCCCGACAAAUUGGUUGCGCGCGACGAAUCC
rnacentral:lncRNA from 1 species